CAGCACCCAGGUAAAAAUAAACAAAACUAAAUAGUGUCUGUUUUUGUUUCCUGCUAAGUUCUACGUUUCCUGCUAAGUUCUAUCUAAUUUUCACAAAGAAAAACCUUCUUUGCACCACGAGCUCUGAAAUAUUUCCUUCGCCGACGAAUCCGUCGUACCCAAGAAAUGUAAUUCUUGAAUACAGUGCUGGCUCCGUGGCUGGCCCUAAUGAAACUGGCCGAUCUUGUUGUUGUCGCCGGAGACGUGCUGUACAGGAAGUCUGGAGUAGUCGAUUUUAUUCUUAGGAAAUGAAAGAUUCAAGAUUGUGCAAAUAAUCGAUGACAACCUUCCAAACACCAAUCUUGGAAUAAUUCAAAAGUAAAUUCCAAUGUCCGGUGUGUUCGUUUUUCGCAGACCACGUGAGUUCGCUGCCGCCAUGUACCAGUCCAGUAAAUUGCCUGCCCGGUUUGUGACCGCGAAGAUGAGCAUCGCCACAAGGCUGCGUCCUCGGGCUCGGGCUCCGUAUGGCCAGCGGAAGGGCUUGGUCUCCCGGAUACCCGGAUAGAAGCCAACUUUUGUUCCUUUCCGGACCCAUUUGGAAGGAUGCGAAAGAGCUGCAGGUGCCGUACCAGGAAGCGGUGCCAGUGAGAAGCAAGAUUUUUUUUUUAAUUUAUAUUUAUUCAGAUUUUUUUUUCUUCCAU